UACCGCAUGGGACACUACUAUGCAUGAGAAAGUGUUAAAAGGACCGUUUGGUCCGCCAAAGGAUGAGGAUGCGGCGUAUUAGCUAGUAGGUGGGGUAAUGGCCCACCUAGGCAGUGAUACGUAGCCGAACUGAGAGGUUGAUCGGCCACAUUGGGACUGAGAUACGGCCCAAACUCCUACGGGAGGCAGCAGUAGGGAAUUUUUCACAAUGGACGAAAGUCUGAUGAAGCAAUGCCGCGUGAAUGAUGAAGGUCUUCGGAUCGUAAAGUUCUGUUGUAGGGGAAGAAUAGCUUGGACAGGAAAUGGUCUGAGUCUGACGGUACCCUACGAGGAAGCCACGGCUAACUAUGUGCCAGCAGCCGCGGUAAUACAUAGGUGGC
rnacentral:rRNA from 1 species